UUUUAAAAUACCCACAUCAACAAAAUAUUCUGGUAUUUGGAAAAGUUGGAAUUUAGUUAAUGUGAUUUCAAAUUCCUGCAAGUUCAUAGCUCAUCAUUGCACAGAGACGAAUGAACCAGAAGUCAUGGUAGACAUUCUGAUGGUCGUGUGGUCACUGCUGUACUCUCUGGUCUACGAGGCCUGGGAGGUGUUGCUCGUCCUAGUGGUGAUGACCAGCCUCAGCCAGGCCUACUACAACUACGUCCACUGCUGCUACGAGAAGAGAAAGAGGCACCAUAAGCCGUGCAGCUGUUCCGACAGCUGCAGCAGUGAAUCGUCCUCGUCCUCUGAAGAGCACUCACAUUCCCUUGACAAAUGACCGCCUGAUAUUGACCUGCGCUGCAGUAGUGGGCUUUGCACAGAUGACUAUAUCAAUAGCGACAACUCCUUUAGAGCCUUGCUGUAACAGAAUUUUUCAGUUCCAAACAUUCACAUCUUAAUUUUUGAUGAUCAUUUCUUUACUUUGCCAUCAUAUAUAUACUAGCUAUGUUUUGACCCGGCUUUGCUCAGGUUGUUUUUUUUUUUUUAUAUAAUAAAAGACAUCUAUGUUUUUGCAAUAGUUAAAAUCUGUGUCAAGAUGCAUCAUUGACCUAAAUCCAGUAAACUUUCCUGCAGUUCAGCAGCUUAACAUGUCCUAAGAUCACCGCUAUUAUCUAAGGAACGUUCAAACCAAGUUUCAUAUAGAUUGGACAGUUUUGAUUUUUAUAAAAAACAUACAUAUAUACAUUCUCCUAACAUUUUACUCUAUAUAUUAGACUAUUUACAAUCUUGAAUUGGCUAAGAAGGAUACGAUGUGCUAUUUUAGAAACACUGGUUUACAGUAGUAAAGUUUUCAUUUGUAUUGUUUGCUAUAUUAUAAAAUUUUACCUUAAGACAUAUCGGUUGACCGUUAUUGUCAAUUAACUUACUUAAUUCCACAAUGUCACUAAUGUCGAUGUUUGAUAUUCCAUUUUCUUAUGUCAUAUAAUGCGUUGACCCAUUUAAUUUAGACAAAAUAACCAAUCAUUUGUAUAUUUGAACUAUUUCAUUUCUGUUCAGGCCCCCCUUUUUUGUUUUUAGGCCUUUUCUUUCUUUUAAGGCCCUUCACCUCCAUUCUGUUUGAGACUCUGGUUUCUGAGGCCUUAAUUGUGUCUGCAUUCUCUUAUUAGGAAUGUGUUAUCAAGUAGGUCCUAUUGUUUUUUAGACCCUUUCUUGUUAAGCCUCUAGUAUCUGGUAGACUCUCUCAUAUUAUUUUUUAUUCUUUUUAAUUCUGUCACCAUUACUUUCUUUUAGCCCCUUUCUCGAUAGGCCCUUCAUUCUCUUUAAGGUCGGAUUUUAAGCCUUCCUUUUCCUUUCGGGCAAUUAUUUACUCUUUUUUUUUAAACACAACAUUAAGCUUUUAUUUUCUGUUAAGCCUGCUUUCUGGGUCUCUUUUAGCCCCUUUUUUUCAUUUUCUUUUUAAGCUAUCAUUUACUUUUCAAAGCCCGAACACCACCAAAGACCACCAAAGACCACCAAAGACCACCAAAGACCACCAAGUUCCGUUUCUUUCAAUGUAUGUCUCCAAGAUUAAAUUGAUAAACUCAGCGACAGAGCUUGUCAUCUAGUGUAGCCUACUGCUUGCUUGGACACUUACUCGUGUCUAACCAGAUUCUAGAAGUCAUGACUUAAUGUUGCUAAAAGGAUAUAGAAGACCUUGUGUAACAUAAAGAAACAUUAGUUCAAUGUCUGUGACUUUAUUCAUUGAAGAUUUAAGAAUUAAAAGUGUCAUCCUCAUUUACAAUGCAA